ensembl:lncRNA
GAACUGUAGGUUUAGUGACUUAAUGAAAGGUCCCCCUUCUGUUUGAGAUACUGGAGUAUGGCUAGAUAGUUCAGGUUAGUAGAAUACCUUUUUGUUGUCAAGGCUUCAUAUUAUUUAUGAGUAAAGUUUGUUUUAUUCAUUUUCUUGCAGAUUCACUCAGCUGAAGUGAGGUCUUUGUUUUGGGGCUUUUGGGAAUGGAAGAGAAGAUGUUACAAAGACUAGAACAUAGCUGCCUCAUUCCUCCUGGUCUAGCCCAAGAUAUUGUACUUGGUGGUGCUUUGAAUUCAGAAGGAAAAAUUGACUUACACACCACAUUGACUCUAUUGGCAUUUUCUCCCCAGAAGGCAGUGGAUUGUUUUUCAGCUAUGACUGAUUCUCGUGGAUUUGUCAAGCACAUUUUAUCACAACUUCCACUAGCUGACAUCCCAUACGAUGUAGAAGAGAGAGAAGGACUGAAAUGCAACUUUCAGUACAUGUAA